AGCACCUAUGUGAAUUUUUGCUUGAUGUGUGGACAAAGACUCCAAAGCAGAUUGAAAAACUAAAUCUUCUUUUGCAACUCAGAACCCAUUACUCUGAGUUCUAAUAAAGAGAAAAAGGAACAUG